rnacentral:lncRNA from 1 species
AGAUUUCUUCUUUGGGUUCUGCCUGGCACCCCUUGUCCCAAAUGUUGAGAAGUAACUCUCUGAGGUAUCUCUAAACUUCUCUGAGAUGAUUGCAACCUUUCUAUAAUCUAGCUUGUUAUAGUUCUUUUCACGAAUCACUGGAUUUAGGAAAUUCUCUGGACUAUUGCUCAAAAGAAGAUUCACUAGCUGCCUUGCUUCCACUAGUGCAGCCUUCAUUUCAUUUUUUGCAGAUUC